GAGAACCUAGAUUUCAAUCGAGGGACCUCCUGCGACACGAAAAGGCAGGAAUGAUAGAUUUGAGGUAUUUUCCUUACGUAAUUGGUUCCGCAAAAUCACAAAAUAAAAAGAAUUAAAAUGCAAAAAUUUCAGGCUAGCCUGCAGGCUCAAUAACGACAAGACGGAGAGUGGAUCGACAAGAGGGAAGAGGUGAAAUUGGUUCAAAUUCAGGUAAAUUAGCAAAUUUUUUUUAUAGUUAAAAGCUGAAAAUGCCAAUCCAUCUAAUUUAAGGCUCUUAAUUACAGAUGCAACAACAACAGGACUGGUCGAAAGGAGGACUUUUGGAACACGUGAUGCCGUUCGUCAAGACUCACAAAACAUGGGCCAGAACAA
rnacentral:sRNA from 1 species